AUGCAUGCAGUCGUACGCACGCGCUUCGGCGCGUGAGUGGCGCACGGCUGAGUAACACGUGGGAACCCGCCCUCCGGUGGGGGAUAACGCGACGAAAGUCGCGCUAAUCCCGCAUACGUCCGCAAGGGGAAAGCGCUUCGGCGCGCCGGAGGAGGGGCCUGCGGCCCAUCAGGUGGUUGGUGGGGUAACGGCCUACCAAGCCGAUGACGGGUAGCUGGUCUGGGAGGAUGACCAGCCAGACUGGGACUGAGACACGGCCCAGACUCCUACGGGAGGCAGCAGCAAGGAAUUUUCGGCAAUGGGCGCAAGCCUGACCGAGCAACGCCGCGUGCGGGAUGACGGCCUUCGGGUUGUAAACCGCUUUUCGGGGGGACGACUACGACGGUACCCCCGGAAGAAGCCCCGGCUAACUCUGUGCCAGCAGCCGCGGUAAGACAGAGGGGGCGAGCGUUGUCCGGAGUUACUGGGCGUAAAGCGCGCGCAGGCGGUGGUCUCAGUGUCGUGUGAAAGCCCCCGGCUCAACCGGGGGAGGUCAUGGCAAACUAGACGACUGGAGCGGCGGAGAGGCCCCUCGAAUUGCCGGUGUAGCGGUGAAAUGCGUAGAGAUCGGCAGGAAGACCAAGGGGGAAGCCAGGGGGCUGGCCGCUGGCUGACGCUGAGGCGCGACAGCGUGGGGAGCAAACCGGAUUA
rnacentral:rRNA from 1 species